rnacentral:rRNA from 1 species
UACGUAGGGGGGCUAGCGUUGCUCGGAAUCACUGGGCGUAAAGGGUGCGUAGGCGGGUCUUUAAGUCAGGGGUGAAAUCCUGGAGCUCAACUCCAGAACUGCCUUUGAUACUGAAGAUCUUGAGUUCGGGAGAGGUGAGUGGAACUGCGAGUGUAGAGGUGAAAUUCGUAGAUAUUCGCAAGAACACCAGUGGCGAAGGCGGCUCACUGGCCCGAUACUGACGCUGAGGCACGAAAGCGUGGGGAGCAAACAGG